AGUAAAAGUCGUAACAAGGUUUCCGUAGGUGAACCUGCGGAAGGAUCAUUACACAUUCGGGGCGCUUCGGCGCUCCUUAUACACCCACCCUCUGCCUACGUGUACCUCUAUAGCUUCCUCGGCGGGCUCGCCCGCCGCCAGGAACCCACGAAACCCCUUGCAUUAUACGCGAAAACUUCUGAUAACAAACCUAAAUUAUCACAACUUUCAACAAUGGAUCUCUUGGUUCUGGCAUCGAUGAAGAACGCAGCGAAAUGCGAUAAGUAGUGUGAAUUGCAGAAUUCAGUGAAUCAUCGAAUCUUUGAACGCACAUUGCGGCCAUAGGUAUUCCUUUGGCCAUGCCUGUUCGAGCGUCAUUUACACCCUCAAGCCUAGCUUGGUGUUGGGCGUCUGUCCCGCCGUUUUCGCGCGCGGACUCGCCUCAAAGUCAUUGGCGGCGGUCGUGCCGGCCCCUCGCGCAGCACAUUUGCGCUUCUCGGAGGCCCGGCGGAUCCGCGCUCCAGCAAGACCUUUCAUGACUAGACCUCGGAUCAGGAGGAACCCGUGA
rnacentral:rRNA from 1 species